rnacentral:rRNA from 1 species
AUUGAACGCUGGCGGCAGGCCUAACACAUGCAAGUCGAGCGAGCGGCGGACGGGUGAGUAAUGUCUGGGACACUGCCUGAUGGAGGGGGAUCACUACUGGAAACGGUAGCUAAUACCCCAUACCCUCUGAUGUGCCCAGAAGGGAGGAGCUAGUAGGUGGGGUAACGGCUCACAUAGGCGACGAACCCUAGCUGGUCUGAGAGGAUGACAAGACACACUGGACCGGAGACACGGCCCAGACUCCGACGGGAGGAAGCAGUGGGGAAUAUUGCACAAUGGGCGCAAGCCUGAUGCAGCCAUGCCGCGGGAGUGAAGAAGGCCUUCGGGUUGUAAAGCACGUUCAGCGGGGAGGCGUUAACCGCAGAAGAAGCACCGGCUAACUCCGUGCCAGCAGCCGCGGUAAUAC